rnacentral:rRNA from 1 species
CUCAGUUCGGAUCGGAGUCUGCAACCCGACUCCGUGAAGCUGGAUUCGCUAGUAAUCGCGCAUCAGCCAUGGCGCGGUGAAUACGUUCCCGGGCCUUGUACACACCGCCCGUCAAGCCAUGGAAGCCGGGAGUGCCUGAAGUGUGCAACCGCAAGGAGCGCCCUAAGGUAAAACUGGUGACUGGGGCUAAGUCGUAACAAGGUAUC